rnacentral:rRNA from 1 species
AGAGUUUGAUCCUGGCUCAGAAUCAACGCUGGCGGCGCGCUUAACACAUGCAAGUCGCACGAGAAAGAGGGCAACCUUGAGUAAAGUGGCGUACGGGUGAGUAACACGUGGAUCAUCUACCUUUUAGUGGGGAAUACCCCCGGGAAACUGGGGACAAUACCGCAUAAGCUCGUGAGAGGAAAGCAGCAAUGCGCUGAAAG